rnacentral:rRNA from 1 species
GGCGGACGGGUGGAAUUAAAGCGUGGGUAAACCUGCCUUCAUACACAUGGUUAACCAUUCCCGAAAGGUAUGCUAAUACAAAGAUGAUAUAAGAGAUUCGCAUGGAUUUUCUUAUCAAAGCUCCGGCGGUAUGAGAUGGACCCGCGUCUGAUUUAGCUAGUUGGUAAGGUAACGGCUUACCAAGGCGACGAUCAGUAGCCGACCUGAGAGGGUGAUCGGCCACAUUGGAACUGAGACACGGUCCAAACUCUUACGGGAGGCAGCAGUGGGGAAUAUUGCACAAUGGGCGAAAGCCUGAUGCAGCAACGCCGCGUGAGCGAUGAAGGCCUUCGGGUCGUAAAGCUCUGUCCUCAAGGAAGAUAAUGACGGUACUUGAGGAGGAAGCCCCGGCUAAUUACGUGCCAGCAGCCGCGGUAAUACGUAGGGGGCUAGCGUUAUCCGGAUUUACUGGGCGUAAAGGGUGCGUAGGUGGUUUCUUAAGUCAGGAGUGAAAGGCUACGGCUCAACCGUAGUAAGCUCUUGAAACUGGGAAACUUGAGUGCAGGAGAGGAAAGUGGAAUUCUUAGUGUAGCGGUGAAAUGCGUAGAUAUUAGGAGGAACACCAGUAGCGAAGGCGGCUUUCUGGACUGUAACUGACACUGAGGCACGAAAGCGUGGGGAGCAAACAGGAUUAGAUACCCUGGUAGUCCACGCCGUAAACGAUGAGUACUAGGUGUCGGGGGUUACCCCCCUCGGUGCCGCAGCUAACGCAUAAGUACUCCG